rnacentral:rRNA from 1 species
AUACGAAGGGUGCAAGCGUUAAUCGGAAUUACUGGGCGUAAAGCGUGCGUAGGCGGUUUGUUAAGUCAGAUGUGAAAGCCCCGGGCUCAACCUGGGAACUGCAUUUGAUACUGGCAAGCUAGAGUGUGGUAGAGGGUGGUGGAAUUCCCGGUGUAGCGGUGAAAUGCGUAGAGAUCGGGAGGAACAUCCGUGGCGAAGGCGGCCACCUGGACUGAUACCGACACUGAGGUGCGAAAGCGUGGGGAGC